rnacentral:rRNA from 1 species
ACUCCUACGGGAGGCAGCAGUGGGGAAUGAUUGCACAAUGGGCGCAAGCCUGAUGCAGCCAUGCCGCGUGUGUGAAGAAGGCCUUACGGGUUGUAAAGCAAGCUUUCAGUCGUGAGGAAGGUAGUGUAGUUAAUAGCUGCAUUAUUUGACGUUAGCGACAGAAGAAGCACCGGCUAACUCCGUGCCAGCAGCCGCGGUAAUACGGAGGGUGCGAGCGUUAAUCGGAAUUAACUGGGCGUAAAGCGCAUGCAGGUGGUUUGUU